AAGACAAACUGAAGAGCUUCAUUAGAGUUUGGCCAAAAGGUAUGCAAGUACCAUCCAAUGCUCGAAAUAUACAAGUAUAACUCUAUAGACAAACAGAAGGCAUUUUAUACACUGUUAACAGCUAUUCAGACUUCUUGUACCUCCUCCUGAUUGGCUGAGAAACCAUGCCGGCAAGGAUCCAUGCAGGGAUUGGCCAGAGGUUUCCCUGGUGUCACUGACAGGAGGAAGAGAGCCUCGUAGCAGGAAGAGAAACUGCUGACUAUUGGUGGGUUUAAAGGUCCGGUUUAUUGCAGAGAUGCCACAUUGGAGGGUGUGAAACUGGGGGAAAUGAUUACUUGGGUAUUCAGAUGAUUUCCUGAUUGACUUAAGUGUCCAGUUCCAUGGAGACAAAGGUGCAAGACUCAGGAAACAAAAGAAUCAUCCCCAAAAUCAAGUUGCUGGUCGUUUUUCCUUGAUGUAUUACAUUUAAUUCAUUUUAUCAUAGAAUAAUCAGCAGAAGGGCUAUAUUAGGACAUCAACUGAGUAUCCUGUCCAGCUAUGACACUAAAGAAGCAGCAUUAGGACUGAAGAAAGAUUUAAGGAGACUGAGCCUUUUCUGUGUUCAAGAGUCCUGGUUUCAGAAGCCCUGGGCAGCUUUCAGGAGCCCUGACUAGAGAACUCAGCUACUUUAAACAAACAUGAAGGACUGCACACUAAAAUAAAAUAUAAUAAAGUAAGGCCAGUGGUUCUCUACAAUCUGACUCACUGGGGGGUUUCUGCUCUUUCUGCUCAAUUUGACCAUAUGAGAAAAUCUGUAGGAUGAGAUAAUAAACGUUGAGACCCAGGGAAUAUG